CAACAGUGUGUUGUGUGUUCCUCUAUAUUUCCCAGACCCCUUUGCCAUUAGGUCGGCUCCGUAUGACUGAGUUCUAGCCAGUGAGGUAUGGGCAGAAGUGAUGUGUACCAAUUGCGAGCUCGACUUUUGAAAUCAUCCCACGUGAUCCUCCUGCCAUCUACCAGCCAUCCUUUUUGAUCUUGAAGGUCUUAUGCCUCAGAUUGUGUAACUACAGGAUGAAGGAAGGCCACUCAACCCACACUUGGACAUGAUGUCACAGUGUUUGGACACCGCAUGAACAUGCCAAUUUCCUGUGUUGUAAUAUUUUUAUGCACUUUAAGAAGACCACCAGAAACAGCAGAGUGAGUGAAUGACUGAGGCGCAUAUUGGACAAAAAUCACUUAUCCAAGACCACGUUACUACAACCCCAGGGCACAGAAGCUAAGUCUUCCUAUUGUACUGAACUCAGUUGACUGGAAUUUGUUCAGGAAAGCAUGAAGUCAAAUGGAAGCUAGUCCGUGACUGGAUUCAUCUUUUGGUAAAA
rnacentral:lncRNA from 1 species